AGACUGGUAUAGGGGAUACCUCAUAAAGCACAAAAUGUUACAGGGCAUUUUUCCUAAGUCCUUUAUCCACAUCAAGGAAGUGACCAUUGAAAAAAGAAGAAAUAUUGAGAACAUCAUUCCUGCAGAAAUUCCUCUGGCACAAGAAGUGACAACGACGCUUUGGGAAUGGGGCAGCAUCUGGAAACAGCUCUACGUGGUGAGACUCCAAGCCCCGUUCCCAGGGAUGGGCGCUCCUUGCAGUCUUUGUUUGGUUGAAAUGUGGAAUUUAGCCUUGAACAGGGCAAGGGGGCUUUACUGAUAUAGUAGGACACAGUGUAUGAGGACAUCAAGGCCCAGAGGGGUUUGGUGACUUUCUCAA